AUCAGCAAUAAGGAAAUGAACGUCAGCUGAUCGAGACCGGGAGAGAACAGGAUAUAAAAACGGAUGAAAAUAGAGCUAUGGACAAGCACUGAAGAAAGCUAAUAGGUGAAACGCGUCUGCUGUCUACUGCACCUUUGGAAUUUGGACUUAUCUGGACUUUUGGCGGUGAUUUCUCUGUUUUACACAUUACUUUAUUUUAUAUUUUUUUAUAUCCA